rnacentral:rRNA from 1 species
GCCGCCGCGGUAAUACGUAGGUGGCAAGCGUUGUCCGGAAUUAUUGGGCGUAAAGCGCGCGCAGGCGGUCCUUUAAGUCUGAUGUGAAAGCCCACGGCUCAACCGUGGAGGGUCAUUGGAAACUGGGGGACUUGAGUGCAGAAGAGGAAAGUGGAAUUCCAAGUGUAGCGGUGAAAUGCGUAGAGAUUUGGAGGAACACCAGUGGCGAAGGCGACUUUCUGGUCUGUAACUGACGCUGAGGCGCGAAAGCGUGGGGAGCAAACAGGAUUAGAUACCCC